UUUGAACGCUGGCGGCAUGCCUUACACAUGCAAGUCGAACGGCAGCACGGGAGCAAUCCUGGUGGCGAGUGGCGAACGGGUGAGUAAAGUAUCGGAACGUGCCCAGUCGUGGGGGAUAACGUAGCGAAAGUUACGCUAAUACCGCAUACGAUCUAUGGAUGAGAGCGGGGGAUCGCAAGACCUCGCGCGAUUGGAGCGGCCGAUAUCAGAUUAGGUAGUUGGUGGGGUAAAGGCUCACCAAGCCGACGAUCUGUAGCUGGUCUGAGAGGACGACCAGCCACACUGGGACUGAGACACGGCCCAGACUCCUACGGGAGGCAGCAGUGGGGAAUUUUGGACAAUGGGCGAAAGCCUGAUCCAGCCAUGCCGCGUGCAGGAUGAAGGCCUUCGGGUUGUAAACUGCUUUUGUACGGAACGAAAAGGUUUGGCCUAAUAAGCUGAGCUCAUGACGGUACCGUAAGAAUAAGCACCGGCUAACUACGUGCCAGCCGCCGCAGUAA
rnacentral:rRNA from 1 species